rnacentral:other from 1 species
GGAGUCCUGUGGUGUACGUCAAUACUCUACGUUUUGAGCCAACACUUUAAAAAAGGGAGCCCCCGUUUCAACGAAGGUUGCAUGCCGUUAUCACGGAUAACGGAAGCAUAAAGUCGAUGAACAGGGCACCCACCUGUUAACGCAGGUUCAAACAAGGAAGACCAAACGGCACACAUGGGACCCCA